AACAUACUCCCUCCGUCCAACAAAAGAUGUCUCAAGUUUACAAAAUUUGGAUGUAUCUAGAAAUAACUUAGUUUAUAGAUGCAUUCAGAUUUAGUUAAAGUUGAGACAUCCUUUGUUGGACGGAGGGAGUACUAA
rfam:Brachypodium distachyon strain Bd21 chromosome 3, whole genome shotgun sequence.